CUAUGUAAAAUGUGUUGUUUGUGAGAAGUCUUUUUCCUUCGGCAAUGCUUUCGAUCAUCAGCAUCGCGCAGACGAUAAACAAAUUGUAACCGACAUUGAUUAUUACUGGGUGUUCAAAUAUUUUAGACUGACUGUUUCUGCUUAUGUUCAUUCAGCAAACUGUAUUCUUUGUGAAUACAAAGAAUUUAUAGCGUUUGAAGAAACUAUAUUCUUGCAUUUUAAAACAGCUCAUUCAGAUAAAUGGGGGGAAAGAUUACCAUUUAUUAAAGAAUUAGCAGUUUUAAAAGGUGCCGUAAAUUUAAGUAGAUUGGAGUUGUUCUUAAAAAUAUGUGAACGUGGCCAUUGGGGCAUAAACGAUUGGAAAGAUCGCACAACUGCUAUAAAUUGGGUGAAAAGAAAAUAUCAAUUAAAACCGAGAUUUCAAGCAGAAUGUAAAAAGUGUUUUGACAUUUUUAAUAGCAUCGACACAUCAAGCUUUGAUCAACAUAUAUAUAUUAAAGAACUUUAUCUUUUCAAUAUGGAAAGUCAAAGACUUGUGACUAAUUGCAGAAAUGCAUAUUGGAUAAAUUUUAGGAGAUUAAUAUGGAAACAGGAAGUACAAUGUGUUUGUUAUAUGUAGCAAGAAGUUUCCAAUGAUGACGAACGACUGGAGAAAGCAUCUACAUGAUAAUGAUAAUAAUUACAUUCGUCAUUACACAUGGCAAUGCAAAUAUGUGAAAGAAAUCAAAGAUGGUAAUGAUGAUUUUAAAGGACGUUGCACUGUAUGUGAACAAGAACAUGACUUUCAUUUUAUGCCUGCAAUACACUUAUUUCUUCACAUAUUCGACAAUAAGUGUCGAAAUUUGAUGAGAAGAGAUUAUCUAGCAACAGGAAUCGAUUCACGACCAACAGAUGAUCUACCAAUGCAAAGACAAAGAAUGGAAAGCUUUAUAGCAUUCGAUGGACCGUCAACAAGCCGUGAAAUAAACUGAAAAGAAGCGGCGAUGUAUCUAUUCUUUUGACAAUGGAGAUGACGAUAACUGAAUUGAGAUCGAGCUACAAACAACAAUAACGUCAGCCUUUAUUUUGAUCACUUAAUUAAUUUGAAAUGUAUAAAAAAAUUAUCUUUAACGUCUGUAUAUAUCAGUUUGAUCCUUAUAAAGUUAUAAGCAAGAUUAUAAAUUUAUAUGUCAAAGACGUACCUUGAAUUUAUAAAUUUUGAAAUUCAAAUAUUUAAAAAAAACUAGUGACUGUGAUUUUUCAGCGCAAUGUAUUCUACGUAAACAGAACGUUUUGGCGUUUGAUGAAAUUAUAUUUUUGCAUAUUAGAAGUGCUCAUCCAGAAAAAUGGGGAGUAAAAUUAACAUUAAGAAAACAUUAAGAAAAACCAGAAGCAACAUCAGGAGUAAAUUUAGGAACAUUGAACCUGUUGUUAAAAGUUUAUAACGAUCGUGUAUGGUAUGCAAUAGACAGUGAAGAUCGCGCAAUUUCUAUUGAUUGGGUGAAGCGGAAAUACAAAUUAAAUUCGAGAUUUCGAGCAGAAUGUAAAAAGUGUUUUGAUAUUUUCAGUAGCAUCGACAUAUCAAGCUUUGAUACUCAUUUAUAUAAUGAAGAAAAUUAUUUUUAUUAUUGGAAAAGCAGAGGAGAUUGUAGUUAUCACCAAAAUCCAUCUUGGAUGAACUUCAGAAAACUUAGAGGAAAACAAAGAGCAGAAUGUGUUUUAUGUAACAGAAUUUUUAUACUCCGAAGGAAAGAUUGGGAAAAGCAUCAUCAUGAAAGAACUGAUGAUGAUAAUAACUUCAUUGGUCACUACACAUGGCAUUGCAAAUAUGUGACAGAAAACGAAAAUGAUAAUGAUGAUUUUAAAGGAUGUUGCAAUAUAUGUAAAGAAAAACAUAACUUUGUUUUUAUGCCUGCAAUACACUUAUUUUUUCACAUAUUCGAACAUCAUUAUGGAGAUUUGAUGAGAAGAGCACGCUUAAGAGACGACUCAGAACCAGGAAAUGUCUCACGAUCAAGAGAUGAUUCAUCAAUAAGAAGUCAAAGAAUGAGAAGACCGACACCAUACGACAGACCGACAACAAGUUAUGAAAUAAACUGAAGAAACGGCGAUGUAUCUAUUCUUUUGGCAAUGGAGAUGAUGAUAGUUGAAUUAAGAUCGAGCCACAAACAGCAAUAACGGCAGUUUUGAUUUCGUCCACUUCAUUAAUGUGUAAUGCAUAAAAAACUAUCUUCAAUGUUUGCAUAUUAUAUUAAUCUAUAUAGUAUAUUAGU